CGUGAGGGAAGAAGGCGCUCAGCGUCGUAAACCUCUUUAGCCGGGGGACAAAACCUCCUCGUGAAGGAGGCUUGAGAGUACCCGGAGAAUAAGCAUCGGCUAACUCCGUGCCAGCAGCCGCGGUAAUACGGAGGAUGCGAGCGUUAUCCGGAUUUAUUGGGUUUAAAGGGUGCGCAGGCGGACAUUCAAGUCUGCGGUCAAAUUCCGGGGCUCAACCCCGGCCAGCCGUGGAAACUGAAUGACUUGAGUGGGCGAGAGGUAUGCGGAAUGCGCGGUGUAGCGGUGAAAUGCUUAGAGAUCGCGCAGAACUCCGAUUGCGAAGGCAGCAUACCGGCGCCUUACUGACGCUCAGGCACGAAAGCGUGGGGAUCGAACAGGAUUAGAUACCCUGGUAGUCCACGCAGUAAACGAUGAAUGCUGGUUGUUCGGGCCGACUGAGGCCUGAGUAACGUAGUGAAAACGUUAAGCAUUCCACCUGGGGAGUACGCCGGCAACGGUGAAACUCAAAGGAAUUGACGGGGGCCCGCACAAGCGGAGGAACAUGUGGUUUAAUUCGAUGAUACGCGAGGAACCUUACCCGGGCUCAAACGGGAGCGGACGUGCGGAGAAAUCCGCAUUUCUUCGGACCGCUUCCGAGGUGCUGCAUGGUUGUCGUCAGCUCGUGCCGUGAGGUGUCGGCUUAAGUGCCAUAACGAGCGCAACCCCUGCGGACAGUUGCCAUCAGGUAGAGCUGGGCACUCUGUCCGGACUGCCGGCGCAAGCCGUGAGGAAGGCGGGGAUGACGUCAAAUCAGCACGGCCCUUACGUCCGGGGCGACACACGUGUUACAAUGGGCGGCACAGCGGGAAGCCAGGUGGUGACACCGAGCAGAACCCGAAAGCCGUUCUCAGUUCGGAUCGGAGUCUGCAACCCGACUCCGUGAAGC
rnacentral:rRNA from 1 species